UACGUAGGUGGCAAGCGUUGUCCGGAAUUAUUGGGCGUAAAGCGCGCGCAGGCGGUCCUUUAAGUCUGAUGUGAAAGCCCCCGGCUCAACCGGGGAGGGUCAUUGGAAACUGGGAAACUUGAGUGCAGAAGAGGAAAGUGGAAUUCCAAGUGUAGCGGUGAAAUGCGUAGAGAUUUGGAGGAACACCAGUGGCGAAGGCGACUUUCGGGUCUGUAACUGACGCUGAGGCGCGAAAGCGUGGGGAGCAAACAGG
rnacentral:rRNA from 1 species